GUGAGGAAUUUUCCGCAAUGGGCGAAAGCCUGACGGAGCAAUGCCGCGUGAAGGAUGAAGGCCUAUGGGUUGUAAACUUCUUUUCUCAGAAAAGAAUUAUGACGGUAUCUGAGAAAUAAGCAUCGGCUAACUCUGUGCCAGCAGCCGCGGUAAGACAGAGGAUGCAAGCGUUAUCCGGAAUGAUUGGGCGUAAAGCGUCUGUAGGUUGUUUAAAAAGUAUUCUGUCAAAGAUUAGGGCUUAACCCUAGAUAGGCAGAAUAAACUUUUAAGCUAGAGUUUGGUAGAGGCAGAGGGAAUUCCCGGUGGAGCGGUGAAAUGCGUAGAUAUCGGGAGGAACACCAAAGGCGAAGGCACUCUGCUGGGCCAAUACUAACACUGAGAGACGAAAGCGAGGGGAGCAAAUGGGAUUAGAAACCCUAGUAGUCC
rnacentral:rRNA from 1 species